rnacentral:rRNA from 1 species
AUGUUGGAUGAUGACGAGGAAGCGAGCAUUUGUGCCGCUAAACCUAUCGAGAUUGAUCCAUUUGACGCUGUCUAAUCAAACAUUCCAGACCGCACUCACAUCCUGAAACUUGACGAAGAUUGCAAACACUGCAAUGCCAGGAAGUUUGAGUCUGAGACUGACAGCUUCUACUGUCGCAAUGGCCAGAUCCAGCUUAAGCAGCCGGAACCAAUCCCAGAGCUUAUGAGGCUAUGGUCCAGCAUGGAUGCAGAUUCCAGACAUUUUUGGGAUAACAUACGGUUCUUCAACGGGCAUUUCGCCUUCACAACCCUUAGCGUCAGCCUAGAUGAAAACUACACGAACAUGAAGUCUGGGAUGUACACAUUCCGAGCACAUGGUACCAUCUACCACAAUGUCCAUUCUUUCGGGCCUAGCUCCCGUCCAAAACAUCUACAGUUGUACUUCUAUGACGACGACCCUAACCUAAAUCAUCAUAAGGCGGCCACCAAGCAAUUAGACCAAGAUGUCGUCAAGAGUUUAGUAAACAUACUCAAAGAAAACCCAUACUCCCAACAAUUUAGGAGUUUGGGUUCACACAAGGACAACCUUGAUGAUUAUAGGAUAGACCUAAACACCGAUAAGUGGCUUGUCCAAAGAAGAUAUAAUAGACCGGUGUCAUCUGAGGUCGCUGCUAUUUGGGUUGAGGGCACUGACCUAGAAAAAAGGUUUGACCGCAGGAUAACACUUUGUGGUAACAACAACGAAAGGCAUAGUAUACGUGUGACCUCAGGGGCAUAUGACCCGUUGUCUUAUCCAUUAUUCUAUCCAAUGGGGGAGCUAGGUUGA